rnacentral:rRNA from 1 species
AUGCGGGCGUUGUUGGCACAGUCCGACUAUGAUGAAGCACUGGGUAAUUUUGAGAAGAACAGAAUUCAAGACUGGACUGAUGAGGAGAAAAGAAUUGAUUGUAAGGCUUUGUCACAAAUUCAACUUCAUUUGCAUAAUAAUAUUAUGCAGGAAGUUUUGAGCGAGAAAACUGCCGCCGCUCUAUGGUUAAAGCUGGAAGAGAUUUGCAUGACUAAAGAUCUCACCAGCAAGAUGCAUCUGAAGCAAAUAUUAUUCCUGCACAGGUUACCCGAGGGAGGUAAUGUUUUGAAUCAUAUUUCAGAAUUUAAAGAGAUCAUAUCCGAUCUAGCUGCAAUGGAGGUUAAGUAUGAAGAGGAAGAUACUGCUUUAAUGUUACUUUGUUCACUGCCAAGUUCUUAUACCAAUUUUAGAGACACCAUAUUAUACAGUCGUGAUACUCUCACACUUAAUGAAGUUUAUGAAGCUUUGAACUCUAAGGAGAAGAUGAAAUUAAUGGUGCCUCAUGAUGGUUCGAGUUUAUCCCAAGCCGAGGAAUUAUCUGUUCGUGGCAGGACAAAGGGGAAUAACUCACAUAAUGAAAACAGAGGCAAAAGUAAAAACGGCUACAGGGGCCGGUCGCAAUCCAGAGACAAGAAGUAUUGCAGGUAUUGCAAGAGAGACGGGCAUGACAUCUCAGAGUGUUUCAAGUUGCAGAAUAAGUAA